AAGUGAGAAUGCCGGUGUGAGUAGCGAAAGACGGGUGAGAAUCCCGUCCACCGAUUGACUAAGGUUUCCAGAGGAAGGCUCGUCCGCUCUGGGUUAGUCGGGUCCUAAGCUGAGGCCGACAGGCGUAGGCGAUGGAUAACAGGUUGAUAUUCCUGUACCACCUAUAAUCGUUUUAAUCGAUGGGGGGACGCAGUAGGAUAGGCGAAGCGUGCGAUUGGAUUGCACGUCUAAGCAGUAAGGCUGAGUAUUAGGCAAAUCCGGUACUCGUUAAGGCUGAGCUGUGAUGGGGAGAAGACAUUGUGUCUUCGAGUCGUUGAUUUCACACUGCCGAGAAAAGCCUCUAGAUAGAAAAUAGGUGCCCGUACCGCAAACCGACACAGGUAGUCAAGAUGAGAAUUCUAAGGUGAGCGAGCGAACUCUCGUUAAGGAACUCGGCAAAAUGACCCCGUAACUUCGGGAGAAGGGGUGCUCUUUAGGGUUAACGCCCAGAAGAGCCGCAGUGAAUAGGCCCAAGCGACUGUUUAUCAAAAACACAGGUCUCUGCUAAACCGUAAGGUGAUGUAUAGGGGCUGACGCCUGCCCGGUGC
rnacentral:rRNA from 1 species